rnacentral:lncRNA from 1 species
CAACUUGAGAGCCAUGGACGUAUUUGAAGUUUUGCAGAGACCAUCAAUGAUGGUGUUAUACAUAACUACAUUGGGCUGAAUUUCUUGAAAUCUGAUAAGCUUCUUAAACAAAUCCCCAGCCUCCAAAGGCCUGUCUUGAGAUAGAAGGCCCUGGAUGAGAGUGUUGUAGGUAAAGACAGCAGGUACCCAACCACUCUUGAUGAUUCCAGCAAGCAAUGAAAAGGCAUAAUCAAGUGUAUUCAAGUGACAACAGGAAUGGAUGGCAGUAUUAAAAGUAACAAUGUCAACAGGAAUCCUUAAAACACGCAAUUCUCUAAACAUAGAGACGGCAACGGAGUACUCUUCCAUUCGAACCAGGGCGGUUAACAGUUGUGUGAAAUCAACAACAGAAAGCCUAGAUUUCAGACGGAGCAUUUUAUCGAACACAAGAAGAGCAUCUUCGAGUUUAUCAAAACCAACUUUAGAUUUAUGAUAGAGUAAUUGUUUUAGUUUGGGAUGAGUCCAGAUUGCCAAACAUUGUGUUCCAGAUGAGCAUGGAAUCUGGUGAAAACCCCUUAAGUUGUUGCUCUUGUCAAUCUUGGGAGCCAAUAUCUUUGUCAAGAUCCAUCAUCGUUAUGCCGAUGUAAUCUCAAUUGUCUGUAAAAAUUAACCAGUACAGCGACGAUAAACCUGUCAAGUUUGAUGAAAUUCUGAAGUUCGACGCUGAAUUAGUUGGCCCGUAAGAGAUAAUACUCGAAGAAACAAACGGUAAGAUAUGUGCACAAGUCAUUUGAAAUGCUUAUUCCUACAUUCAAGGGGCCACUUGAUGAGACCUGUGAGUACAUAGAGUUAGGUCUAUGACCUAUAGCUUUUAAAGAUGACUGUCAUAGGAGUAAAGACAAUGAAUUCAUACUUUUCUGAUCAUUUUUCUGCAUUUCUAAUCAGCAGUCCUCAUUCAAACAGGAAGCACAAUUAAAUGAGGGCCUAGGGGAUGCAAUUUAGUUAUCCAGCACUUGAUGUAGAGACCUUCAGAUCUAUUUGACCGAUCUUCUCAAAUCAAGAAUGGCUCGAGCUGUCAGCGUGAUCAUUUUUCUGCACAAUAUCAAACAGGAAGCAUAAACAUAUAAGGGACUACAGAUCAGAAAGAAAAUAUUGCGCAACCAUUAAAAAUUUCACCUAACAAACCGAAACUUAAUUUUCCACAUUAAAUUAUUGAACCAUAGAAAUACAAUUUUAUUCCAAAAUUCAGCGAUCUUUCCAAGCCGAAUAGCCUAAUAUCACUGUUUUGUCUCUGCCAAAGCCACAUGGAUGAAACAAGGAGAACAUGAGAAAAGCAUAAACCACAAAAACUAUAUUCUUGCGAACACUCUAUAAUACAAAUCUCUGGAGAAUAGACGCAGAAUCUCGCUUCCUAGUGUUCUAUAACAUAUACACCACAAUUUAGUUUUACGCAUUUUUAGUAGAGAGCAGAAUCAAAAGUAUCACUAUAUAGAAAUCCCAAUAAUAAUGCAAUUAUAUAAAACUAAAAUCUGCCAUAUGAUAGCUGUUCAAUUAACCUUAUUCCAUUUCCUAGUAGUUUAAUGCUUUAACGCAUGAAAAUUUCAGCAACAUGUCAUAACUCAUAAGCUGUAAGCUCCUUGUGAUUCAACAAGCAACAUUCAUACUUCAUUUUCUGUUCCAACUUGUUAUUUUGUGUAAUCCCCUAGACCACAAAAGUUGCGAAACAGUCAUUUCAUCAGUCAAUCUGAUAGUGCCCGAAGAUGCACAGUAGUGAUUUUUGCUAAUCCGGCAUGCAAUUGAUUUUAUCCUUACAGUCUGGAUCGAAAUUAUAAUAUAUCCAGCACAUUUUUUUUGUAUCAAACAGAAUAUCCUUGAGAACUGAGAUAGAAUAAUCUUUUCCCCAACUUUCCAUGCCAAUAACAGAAAAUUUAACUACAACCCAUUAGCUAACUGUGAUGUGCCAAUUCAAAUUUAGAAAACUCCAACCAUGUUGACCCCUUAGGUAAAUUUUUACAAAUCUCUGUUUUGUUGUCUGUAUUAGUGAAUCUCCAGGAGCCAACUUAGCAUAAUGGAGUUAAAUAUCAGGGAAAGGCUAGCCAGCAGAAGGGGGGAGACAUAAAGGAAUUGUAAGGAAAAAGUAGGGAUUAUCCAUUCAUUUAAGAGUUUAUGUUAUUUUAAUUAGCGGAGGCUGACCCUCUCGAACACUCAAAUCUCUAUAUAAAUUCUCUUUUGAACUCCAAAUAAAAUACACUUCGUUUAGCUUGUCUUUAUUCAUACGGAGGCUGAACCACACCUCAAUCGGAGGGCAUUUUUAUUUCAAGGUAGAUCGGAACCAUCAAUGUUGGUCUGAGUUAUAUUUUCAUUCCUGUUCAAUAGUGCUUAAUCCUCCUAUUAUCAGUGGUUUGUAGCAGUAAUAUUACUUGAUUCUCAGCACCGUCUCCAUAGAUAAUACUACUUGGCAUUGCUUUUACUUAGUCACAAUCCUUUUAAUAGUAGAAUAAAUAGAAGUCAGAAUGGUAUAACAGAUAAUAUCCGGAGAAAGAGAUAUGAGCUUGUUUGUGAAAGCCUGAAUAUGCGUGCUGAAGGGUAUAUCAGGAAUGAAGUUUUCUGAUUUAUGCAUUAUAGAGGUAGUACAGAGGCUUCUUUUAUUAUUUUUAAAUGCUGAUUUUUUUUCUGUAUUAUGGGAAGCGUCAAAAUGCUAGCUUUCAAUUCAGAAUGACAACUUGUACAUAGACUGUCCUUAAUACAUAUCGAAGAGAUAGUAUUACAGUCACUAAUCCAUUGUCUAUUUCCUCUAAACAAACUGAUGGUACCCCUUAAGUUGCCAACAAUAUAGAUUUUUACUCAGCAAAACAUAUUACUAUAGCAGAUAACUUAAAGAAGUUAGGAGAUGAAAAAAAAUAACAAUGAACCGUAAAUUUCAGUACCUGUUGCAAAAACCAUUUGCAGAAAGCAAGAACGGUGGGGUCCAGGUCUACUAACAUGGAUGUGGUAGAUGCAUCCGCUGAGAAUUUGUGAGCUCGCAUGUUCUCAAUCAGUACAACUGCCCUUUUAUCCGAAAGACUUCCACGGAUGAUGGUAUUAUAAGUCACACCAUCAGGCAACCAAACACUCGUUUCCAUUUUAGAAAGUAGUUCCUUUGCUUCCUGAAAUAACCCUUCUUGACAAAGUCCUCUGAUCAUUAUGUUGUGUGUUAUGACAUCGGGUUGCAAACCUCUCGAAGCAAGCUUAUCAAAAAUAUUUCUGGCCUCAUCAAGUUUUCUGUUCUUGCAAAGACCAUCAAUGAGAAUAUUAUGUAUUUGAAUAUUAUGAACUAUACCUUUACAUUCCAUCAAUUGAAAGAAGGAAAUUGCUUCAUCCAUGUAUUGGUUGUUGCAAAGGCCGUCUAAAAGAAUUCCACAUGUUACGAUAUCUGGUUUAUUACCUUUUUUCAGCAUUUCAGGGAAAAGGUUCCGCGCCUCAUUAUGUCUACCCAUCUGAAACAAACCAUGUAUGAUGGUGUUGUAGGUUUGAACAUUGGGUUCUAAACCUGCAACAGGCAUCUGUCUGAGGAGCUUGAUGGCUUUGUCUACUUUCUGCGUCUUACAAUAGCCAUUUAUCAGAAUGUUAUAGCUAUAACAGUCUGGCCAUAUCUCAUUACUCCUCAUGGUAUUCAGCACCUCUAGUGCCCUGUCCAUUUUGCCUGUUAAACAAUAACCAUCCAUCAGUGCAUUGUAUGUGAUUGAAUCAGGAGGCACACCUUUCUGGAUCAUAAUUUCAAUCACAUCUUCUGCAUCUGUUGUCCUCCCUUCUUUGCAGUAUGCAUCCACUAAUAUAUUAUAGGUGUGCAAAUCUGCAGAGAUCUUCCUAACACCCAUCUCAGUUAACAAACUCUCAGUGUCCUCCCAUCGGCCGGAGCUGCAAAGACCUUGAAGUAGCGUGCUAUAGGUUAUAACAUUAGGUGAUAUGCCUUUGUCGAUCAUUUCAGACUCAAGAUCCAAUGCAUGAUCGACUCGUCUCUCUUUGCACAGAGAAUCGAUAAUGGAGUUAUAAGUUACCGCAUCGGGGUUACAACCUAUCUCCUCCAUCUUUCUUAACAACUUAAGAGCCAUGGAGGUAUUUGAAGUUUUGCAGAGACCAUCAAUGAUGGUGUUAUACAUAACUACAUCAGGCUGAAUUUCUUGAAAUCUGAUAAGCUUCUUAAACAAAUCCCCAGCCUCCAAAGGCCUGUCUUGAGAUAGAAGGCCCUUGAUGAGAGUGUUGUAGGUGACAACAUUGGGGACAUGACCACUCUUGAUGAUUCCAGCAAGCAAUGAAAAGGCAUAAUCAAGCGUAUUCAAGUGACAACAACAAUGGAUGGCAGUAGUAAAGGUAACAAUAUUAACAGGAAUGCUUAACACACGCAUUUCUCUAAACAUGGAGAUAGCUACAGAGUAUUCUUUCAUGCGAACAAGGGCGGUUAAGAGUUGGUUGAAAUCCACAACAGAAAGCCCAGAUUUCAGAAGGAGCAUUUUAUCGAACACAAGAAGAGCAUCGUCGAGUUUGUCGAAACCAACUUUAGAUUUAUGAUAGAGUAAUUGUUUUAGUUCGGGAUGAGUGGUUGAUGGAGAUGGAAUAAAGGGGGCUUUAAAUUGUGAAAUAGGGUUAGGUUUAGUAGAGAAAGGAAGAAAAUGAGAAUGAAAAAGAGAGGAUAAAAGAGAACAAGGGCUUACACUGAGAGGCUUUAAGCUGAAACAAGUCAUUGUGAGAAGAGCUCCUCUCUU